rnacentral:lncRNA from 1 species
CCUCGGCGAUCUUCAACUGUAGUUGUUAUGGCUUUCAAACUUUUAACAACUGAGCAUAGUUUUGUGUGGACGUAGCGCGCGUCUGGCGUAUACAAAUGUUUUUUUAACCUGCUACCUUUUAACGGCUAUUAUUCGUUUGUUUCUCUGUCCUAUAUUUUCUCCCAUUUAUCUGUUUAUUUAUUGUAACCCUGUCGUGUAAUG